rnacentral:lncRNA from 1 species
AUGAAUGUCUCCCACCUGCACAGUUGAGAAACCUGUUGCUGGACUCUGAGUAACCUCACAAAGGUCAGAGCUGUGACCUAAAAUAAUUUCUUUUAACAAAUCUGGUGUUAGCUAAAUACAUCAGUAAACAUACACAUAUGCUAGAAUAUAUAUAGUUUUUUUAAUAGAUAUGUUAUAUUGCUAUAUUCUAUUAAACUUGAAUUUAUUUCAUUCCCACAUUUUUUCCUUUCCUUUAUGAUAUAUGUAGAUAUUAUAAGGAA